rnacentral:misc_RNA from 1 species
GAAAUGCGAUAAGUAGUGUGAAUUGCAGAAUUCAGUGAAUCAUCGAAUCUUUGAACGCACAUUGCGCCCUAUGGUAUUCCGUAGGGCAUGCCUGUUCGAGCGUCAUUUACACCUCAAGCCUUGCUUGGUGUUGGGUGACUGUGGCCCCUUUGGGGCCACUCGCCUUAAAGUCAUUGGCGGCCGGUUCGUUGGCUUUGUAGCGCAGCACAAUUGCGUCCUCGAAGCCGCUGGACCAGCUCCCAGAAGCUAAUUUUAAAUGUUUGACCUCGAAUCAGGUAGGGAUACCCGCUGAACUUAAGC